rnacentral:rRNA from 1 species
UAGGGAAUCUUCCACAAUGGACGAAAGUCUGACCGAGCAACGCCGCGUGAGUGAAGAAGGUUUUCGGAUCGUAAAACUCUGUUGGUAGAGAAGAACGUUGGUGAGAGUGGAAAGCUCAUCAAGUGACGGUAACUACCCAGAAAGGGACGGCUAACUACGUGCCAC